GACGAACGCUGGUGGCGUGCCUAAUACAUGCAAGUCGAGCGAGCGAAACUAACAGAUUUACUUCGGUAAUGACGUUAGGAAAGCGAGCGGCGGAUGGGUGAGUAACACGUGGGGAACCUGCCCCAUAGUCUGGGAUACCACUUGGAAACAGGUGCUAAUACCGGAUAAGAAAGCAGAUCGCAUGAUCAGCUUUUAAAAGGCGGCGUAAGCUGUCGCUAUGGGAUGGCCCCGCGGUGCAUUAGCUAGUUGGUAAGGUAAAGGCUUACCAAGGCGAUGAUGCAUAGCCGAGUUGAGAGACUGAUCGGCCACAUUGGGACUGAGACACGGCCCAAACUCCUACGGGAGGCAGCAGUAGGGAAUCUUCCACAAUGGACGCAAGUCUGAUGGAGCAACGCCGCGUGAGUGAAGAAGGUUUUCGGAUCGUAAA
rnacentral:rRNA from 1 species